AAAAGCUGCAUUUCUUAAAAGUACUCCUCACUCAUGACAGGCAGUUUUCACUUGUGCUCAAUAUACUUUUACAUAUUAUCUAUGGAUUAUGGUAUGCUCCAUAGAGAGUUCAGUUAGGGGUGAUUGGUGCAUGAUUAGUGAAACGAUUGCAGAUAUGAUUAAAAACAAUGGAUAAUAGUGGCAGUGGCUUGUGCCUGCUUAAUUUAUUGCUUUAAUAGCACAAAGCACCAUGUUCAUGAUUCCCCCAUAUGUUAUUUUUUUUCUGUCACCUUCUAGACUCUACCUGAUGAUGAAGUUGGUGGUGUUAGGAAAACUCGAGUGACAUCAUCACCCAAAAACCUUGUCACAAACAUUUUUCGACACAGAGUCUCAAGGAACAGAGUGCGGCAUGUGGAUGAGCAGUUUGAUCUUGACUUGACCUACAUCACAGACAGGAUAAUCGCAAUGUCAUUUCCUGGAUCUGGUCUGGAAACAACUUACAGAAAUAACCUGAGAGAAGUGGCAAAGAUGCUGCAGACAAACCAUCAGGAUAAG